AUACGGGCAAGUCUCCUACGACCAGCUCCUGAAGAAUCCCCCAGGACGGGAACGUAGCAAGGGUAUUUGGUUGUAGCGGUGCGAUAGGAACAGCUUGCCCACC
rnacentral:SRP_RNA from 1 species